GCAGAGUUAGAUAGUGAGAGAGAGAGAGAGAGAGAGAGAGAGAGAGAGAGAAAGGUCUUUCUUUUUCUGUUGGUUCACCCCCCAAGUGGCCACUACGGCCAACAUGCUGCGCCGAUCCGAAGCCAGGAGCCAGGUGCUUCCUCCUGGUCUCCAUGCGGGUGCAGGGCCCAAGGACCUGGGCCAUCCUCCACUGCACUCCCGGGCCACAGCAGAGAGCUGGACUGGAAGAGGAGCAACCGGACAGAAGCGCCCCAACCAAAACUAGAACCCCAGGGUGCCAGCACCGCAGGCGGAGGAUUAGCCUAGUGAGCUGCGGCACCAGCCUAGAUUUCAUAUUUUAUGGCUCUGUAGUAUUCUAGAGUAUAUAUACUAUAAUUUCUUUAUCCGAUCUUCAGUUAAUAGACUUCUGGGUUGAUUCCAUAUCUUAGCUAUUAUAAAUUGAGCUGAAAUGAACAUGGGAAUACAGAUCACUCUUUGAUAUGCUGAUUUCAUUUCUUUUGGAUAAAUUUCCAGGAGUGGGAUGGCUGGGUAUUAUGGUAGGUCUAUAUUCAACUUUAUGAGAUAUCUCCAUACUGUCUUCCACAGUGGAUGUAUGUACCAGUUUACAUUCCCACCAGCAGUGGAUUAGGGUACUCUUUCCCACACCCUCACUGGCAUUUAUUGUUUGUUGAUUUCUGUAUGAAAACCAUUCUAACAGGGGUGAAGUGAAACUUCAUUGUUUUUUUUUUACAUUUUUUUCUUUUUUAUGCUUUUAUUUUUAUUUUUUAGAAAACUUUUAUUUAAUAAAUAUAAAUUUCAAAAGUACAACUUUUGUAUUAUAGCGGGUUUUCCCCCCAUAACCACCCUCCCACCUGCAAACUCCCUCAUUGUAGUCUUGAUUUGCAUUUCCCUGAUGGCUAGUGAUCCUGAGCAUUUUUUCAUGUGUCAGUUGGCCAUUUGAAUUCCCUCUCUUGAAAAAAAUGUCUGUUAAGGUACAUUGCUCAUUUCUUAACUGGGUUGUUUAUUUUGUAGUUGUUGAGUUCCUUGAGCUUCUUAAUCCUUUAUCAGUUUGCAUAGUUUACAAAUAUUUUUUUCCAUUCUGUCAGUUGCCUCCUCACUUUGCUCUUUUCUUUUGCAGGGAAGAAGCCUCUCAGUUUGAUGUAGUCCCAUUUGUUAAUUUGGCUUUGAUUGCCUGUGCGUCUAGGGUCUUUUCCAAGAAGUGUUUCUCUGUGCCAAAAUCUUAUAGGGCUUCCCCAGCGUUCUCUAAUAAUUUGCUGGUAUUGGGUUGUAGAUUUAGGUCUUUAACCCAUUUUGAGUGGAUUUCUUUGUAAGGUGUAAGGUAGAGAUCUCAUUUCAUACUUUUGUAUGCAGGGAUCCAGUUUUCCCAGCACCAUUUGUUGAAGAGACUGUCUUAGCUUCAGGGAUUGUUUUUUGCUCUUUUGUCAAGAUAAAUUGGUCGUAGAAGCAUGGAUUGAUUUCUGGAGUUUCUGUUCUAUUCCAUUGGUCUACAUAUCUGUUUUUGUACCAGUACCAAACUGUUUUAAUUAUAACUACCCUGUAGUAUGUCUUGAGAUCUGGUACUGUGAUGCCUCCAGCUUUGUUUUGGUUGUUUAAGAUUGCUUUAGCUACUCACGGUCUCUUGUGUUUCCAUGUGAAUUGUAGCAUCAUUUCUUUUUAGAUCUGAGAAGAAUGUCAUUGGUAUUUUGAUGGGGAUCACAUUGAAUCUGUAAAUUGCUUUUGGUAGUAUGGAAAUUUCGAUGAUAUUGAUUCUUCCAAUCCAUGAACAUGGAAGAUUUUUUCACUGUUUUAUGCCCUCUUCUAUUUCUUUCUUUAGUGUUUUGUUUUGUUUUGUUUUGUUUUUUUCUGACAGGCAGAGUGGACAGUGAGAGAGAGAGACAGAGAGAAAGGUCUUCCUUUGCCGUUGGUUCACCCUCCAAUGGCCGCCGCGGCCAGCGCACUGCGGCUGGCACACCGUGCUGAUCCGAUGGCAGGAGCCAGGUACUUCUCCUGGUCUCCCAUGGGGUGCAGGGCCCAAGUACUUGGGCCAUCCUCCACUGCACUCCCAGGCCACAGCAGAGAGCUGGCCUAGAAGAGGGGCAACCGGGACAGAAUCCAGCGCCCCGACCGGGACUAGAACCCGGUAUGCUGGCGCCGCAGGAAGAUUAGCCUAUUAAGCCACAGUGCCAGCCCACAUAACUCUUUCAAAAAGAUUUUUUUCUUUGGGGCCAGCACUAUGGUACAGUGGGUUAAAACCCUGGCCUGAAGCACCAGCAUCCCAUAUGGGUGCUGGUUCUAGUCCCUGCUUUUCCUCUUCCAAGCCAGCUCUCUGCUAUGGCCUGGGAAAGCAGUAGAAGAUGGCCCAAGUUCUUGGGCCCCUGCACCCAUAUGGGAGACCCAGAAGAAGCUCCUGGAUCCUGAAUUUAGAUCGGCUCAGAUCUGGCCAUUGCAACCAUCUGGGUAGUGAACCAGCAGAUGGAAGAUGUCUUUCUCUCUGUCUCUACCUCUCUCUGUAACUCUGUCUUUCAAACAAAUAAAAUAAAUCUUUUUAAAAAAGAUUGUUUUGAGAGAAAGAAAUAGAGAGGGAGAAUGCAUGCAAGCGCUAGCUCCUGUCCAUUAGUUCAUUCCCCACAUGACUGCAACAACUGGGGUUGGGUUGGACAAAGCUGAGAGCAGGGAGCCCAGUGCUGUUCUUCCACACAGAUGUCAAGAUCCCAAGCACUUGAGCUGUCACGACAUCCUCCCAGUAUCUGCACUAGCAGGAAGCUGGAUUCCAGAGCUGGAACCAGGAGUUGAGCCAGGCAUUUGGGUGUGGCACACUGGUGUGUCAUCCAGUUUCUUAACCACUAUGCCAAAAUCUUAUUUCAUUUUUCCAUGAAUCUUUCUGAAGUACCCUUGUACUGAAUGCUCUGAUUCAUACAUAAAAUCUUAGAGUUGAUCUCACAGAGGUAGUGAGUAUAAUAAUGAUCUCUAGACAUUAGGAAGGGCAAGGGAAAGGAGACUGGAGAAAGGUUGGAUAAGGAGUACCUAAACAGUUAGGAGUUAGUUCCAGAGUAGGUUAGCACAGUAGGUAUUUAUUAUCUACUGCUAAUUAUCCUGAUUUGGUCAUUAGGCACUGUAUGCAUGUAUCAGAUGAUCAUACUGCAUCCCAUAAAUAUAUACAGGUAUUAUUUGUCCAUUAUAAACAGUUUCGUAAAACUUGCGAUGUAAUGAGAGUGAUUUAAAAAUAAGCUAACCUAUCUCCCACCUUCCCUCUCUCCCUUCUUUCCACAAUUGAAUACUUAACAGAUAGUAAUUGAGCGUCAGUUCUAUAUCAGGCAGUGUACUCAAGUCUGGCGAAUACAAACAACAAGCACAGUUCCCCAUGAAGGAGACAAAAUAAUUCACUAAACUAUCACAGGUGGAAAUAAAAACUCUACCAAAUACACCCAAGGAGAGGCAAAUAGUGCCACUGGAGCAUGGGUUGACUUGACCUAGUUUGGAAGGUUAGGUUUCCUUGAGAAAGUGAUACUUGAGCUGAAAUCUAAAGGAUAAAUCAGAGUUAACCAGGACCCUGGGAAGAGUAGAGUACCUGAGGCAAAGAAAAUGUGCCAGGGCAAGGGGACAGGAGGACACGUAAUAGGUAGAGAGCAUUGAAAGAAGGUGAAAGUGGCUGGAGUCGAGAGAACAAGAGGGCUGGGGCGAGAGCUUUGUGAGGAUACCCCCGUGGGACCAUGAGGGCCAGGUUUCAGUUCCAGACUGAUGGCAAGGAUUCUCUUCAAGGGUUUUCUGCAGAGGUGAUAUGGUCAAAUGCAGCUAGUUGGGCGUAAGCCAAGAGCUUGGAGCCUUAGGGAUAAGGCUUUUGGUUAUCGAGGCAGUACAUGAUAGUUGCUUGGAGCCUGGGUGGAGAACAGAGCAGGAACAGGGAACUGACCCUAGAGAUACUUAAAGAACAUAAUUUAUGGUUGACUGGAGUAGGGGACGAGAGGAAAAGAGUCAUGGCUGAUGCUUGCAUUGUCAUUCAGGUGGCUAAAAGGGGUGAUACCAGUACGUGGGAGAGGGGAUAUUGGAGGAAGAAUUAGCGUGGGAAUAGCGAAUUGGCUUUAGGGGGCAUUGAGUUUGAAGUGUCUGAGCCAUGAAGUGCAGGAGAGGGUAGUUGGACAUAGAGGCCUGUAGCUUGCAAGGAAGAUUGAGAGAUUGAGAAAUGCAGGCACAGCAGCUCGGAGACGGGGGAAGAAUGAAGGACUGGUCAUAACCAGAGAAGAGACGGCACUUUUGAGUGAUAUGGAAGGGCUGAGUAGGAAGAAACCUCAGAAGUAAGACACAUGUCCGAUGAAAACCAGGAAAGAAUGAUGUCAGCACUGUAGAAGCCAAGAGAAAGGGUUUCAAGAAAUGGGCGAAUAAACAGUGUCAAAUGCUGUUGGAAAUUAAGUAGGACAAGGGCUGGAAACAGCUGUUGAACCAAGAGGAAGGUAGGGAGAACAUGGUGGGAAUAUUUCUGGUGGAGUGAAUAAUAGGCAAGACAUGUUCUUGGAGUGGAUCGAAGGGCCCAUAGAAGAAAACACAGGACAUUUGUCACUCAGAGAGUUUGUGUUAAAGUGGAUAAGCAAGGUAGGAUUCUAUCUGGAAGAAGAUAAGGAGUUGAAAAGAGCUGUUCUAGAGUACCAGGCAUUGGUGAAUGAGUUGUAUAUGAUUGCCAGCAACACGUAGCUACCUAUGGGUGUCUUUAUUGUUUAUUUCAUAUAAGAAGAGUGGAGAUGAAUUGAUGCUGCGAGUAGCUCAAAAAAUAACUCAGCCACUUUCCCACUGCUCUUUCCGCUUAUUGGUGGUUUGUCCUUGUGGUUGACAUAUGUGAUGGGCAGUAAAGGCUUCUUCAGUUCCACACAACCCCAUUCAAAGCAACAGUAAGGGGGUAUGAUCCUUUCUCUCUAUCUUUCUGUUGGAAAGCAAAAUUCUUUCCCAGACUUUUCCUCACCCCUACUCCUUCAGCCUUCUUCUUAGGGUCUAGGUAGGCAGGACUAAGUUAUUUUCCCAUUUCCAGAUGAACCACUGGCAAGGGUGAAUGCAGUUACCAAGCAUAGUUUGGUCCAGGCGUUCUUAAAGAGUGGUCUCUAACCCAACCACAUCGGCACUUCCUGGAAACUCAUUAGAAAAAGAAAUUCUUGGGCUCCAUCCCAGUCACACUGAGUCAGAAACCCUGGACUGGGACUGAGAAGCCUAUUUUAAGUCCUCCAGGCAAAUCUGAUGCAUUUUCAGCUUAGAGAACCAUGGGUUUCAACUACUUAAGUCAUGGUGUGGUGCUAGGAAGAGGAAUUAGUGUUCAAGGAGCUUCUAUCUUACGAAGGCUGGGCCAUGGUUGCUGGCGGACAUGGGGAAGUGUCUGCCACCACUAGCUGUAUUUCAGCAUUGAUAGGAAUGGGUCACUAAAGACAGAGAAUGACGAGAAGAAAAGGAUUGAGAAAGGAGAGUGAGUGGGGGAGAUUUGAAGACUCAGUGGAGGGAGCCUGAAGAAGCAGCCAGGGGAGGGAGUGGGAAAUUUGGGAAGUCCCUUCUGUUGGUCUCUGGGAGCAGAGAUAAGUUGUCUGCUGAGAGAGAGUAGGAGGGGCUGAGGGAAGGAGGAAGGGAAGGGGGAGAGAGAGAGAGAAAGGGAGAAGGGGAGGUGGAAGAGGAUGCUUGCUUAAGAUCUAAGAUUGCAGAGACCUUUUAAAUACUUGUGAGGAAGAGGAGGGCUUAGUGAUCUGAAACCCUGCAAUGUAAGUGUGAAGCUGCCUGCAUAGGUAAACCUGAGUUUAUAGUGGGCUAACCUGCCUGGUUGUGUGACGUGCAGCAUACAGGGUAAGGCAUGGAGCUCACAGGUGGUUUGAUUCCGCUAAGUCUGAGGCUUUGUCAGAAGAGUGUGACCGAAGGUCAUGGGCAAGGGUAUUUAGGAUGUGGAUAAGGAAAAGGUAGAAAUGAUGGACCAGAGAGUUCAUUCUGAAAUCGGAGUUGAAGUGAAGAUGCAAUAGAGGAGAGGGUUAGUCCACGGGCCACAGUCACGAUGCUGUCUUCCGCUUAUAAAUCAGGGGCGAACCAGUCCAGAAUGUGACUUCUAUUGUGUCUUCCUCACUCUAUCAUGGGAAUUGUGAGGUUUAUUACGGCAGCUUUUUCCUUAUCACUCAGUUGUAGGACAUUAUGCAGGAAAACAAGCCAGAGGCUGUUAUUUGGCUUACUUGGACUGCUUUUUGACCGGUUCUCUUUUUUUUUACUGAUAAUACUUUCUACAGACAUGAUUUUAUAAGCCUUACACAAAUCUUGCUAAGUCAUAUGUGUAAUGUAACAAGCAAGACUGCAUUUCAUCCGGAAGAAUUUGUCAUGUCCCUACCCUCGCAGAGAAACAGUUGUAAUGUUCUAAUGCACUUGAUAUCUUGAAAGAUAUUAACAUUUUACAUCAGUAGAAAUAAUCUCCUCAAAGCUAUUGAAGGGAGGGACGUUGUUUGGAACAAUGUUAUUCUUCUUCCUUACCUACAUGCAAACCAGCCUCGAUGUGGUCCACAUGGAGCUUGGAGCCUGUUCUUUCUGCCACCUGACAUGUUCUUUCUAAGGUUGUCCUUAAAAACGACACACCACCUGAAAUCACAUGUUUUGAAAAUAAUUAUGUAUACAGGAUUCUUGCUACAAACACCCUAAAGUGAGUCCCACAGGUAGAAAGGUAUUAACCUAUAUUUCAGAUUAUCCAUCAGCGAUGUUUUUUAUGUUCCCCAUUGCAUCUAGUGCUGAAGUAUCACCCUGUCCAUAUACGUUACUAAGGAAAAUCAGACAUCAACAUCAGGACACCCAGGAUGUGAGUAGGGCAGAGUGAGAGUCUGUUUCUUUGAAGAGCCAAGUACUUUGAGCAUCAGCAAAAUUGUUGGAGCGUAAGUUCCACAAGGAUAAUGCUUCUGCUCACUUGUCCACAGCUGUGGUCCCUGUGCUCAGAACAAGACCUAGAACAUGUGGAUGCCCAAGUAAUUUUCAGAUGUUUUGUUGUAGUUUUUAUGUCACAAGUGAGUUCCAUUUAAUAGGAUGAAGAAUUUGUGGGCUCAGUUCCAUUACAUGAUAACUUAGAAUCCACCUGAAGACUUCCAAAGAGCCUAUCAUUCAGUAGGGAGAUGGCUUUUGCCAUAAGACACAGAGAGCAAGUGCCAGGAGGUGUGCAAGUGCAUGGAUGUUAAAGUUGGGUAGGGCAGGAUUCUAUUCUCCCAUUAUACCACUUGCUAACUAUAAUUACGUGGAAGCAUUUUUAAAAUAUCUUUACAUUUUGGUGUCCUGCAUCUAUAAAAUAGUAAUAAUAAUUUCAUCAUAUAUUAGAUUGAAUGAAAUAUGACACGUAAAGUCCUUAGCACAGUGCUUGGCACAUAGUAAGCUAUUAGCUGUGAUUACCAGCUAUAAUUAGUUCUUAAAAUCUGCAACACAAAUUUGUUUAUAGAUGUAUAUAAAUCCAUAGCAGUGUUUGCUGGUGCUAAAUUCAAAUAAACUAGUGUAAAUUACAAGGUUGCUAAUGUCAGACAUUAAUGUUCAUUACAGAUUAAAGCAUGGAAAUCUUCCCUCGUGCAGCAAUCCAUUUCGUCUGGUUGAUUAGGAGAUGUUCCCUUCUGAAAAUCAUCCGUUCACAUUUUAAGUGUAUGUUUACAGGUGUUUGCGCUAGGCCAAUCCUGAGAUGAGUGGUGGACUUCAAACCCCGCUAUCUGUUGGCAAAAAUGUCCUUUCCUUGAAUCCCUUGAGGACUGUAAUUGUCAUUGAUUCAUACAAGAUGAGCAAUCUUCUGUUCAGUCUCUGUCUUUGGCUUUGGUAUUUUCAAUUAUCAGUUAGCCCUCACAUAGGAAAUACUAACUCUCUAAGUAGUAAGAUUGGUUGUGUAGAUUUUUUUAAAGGAAUACUUGUAAAAUAACUAUUUAGAGGUGGAAACUAAGGUGGUGAAGAACUUGGGAAUCCCAUCUUUUUACUAUUUGUUGGGGAAACCACACAAGGGUGAACUAGAAGAGAAAACGCAAGACUUAAUGAAAAUAUGAAAGUGACUCUCAGUCAUUUAAAAGCAUGUCAUGCAGAAGAGGCCAACCUGGCACACUGAUAUUUAGAAAGAAGAGAUUAAACAGAAAACAGGUAGGUGUUAACCAAUGUCACACUUUGGUAUAAGCCAAAUGAACCAGCAUCUGUAUAGUACAUACAAAUGUUCUCAGAUACCAGGAACACUAACUAUUCUUCCCAAGCUACCAUAGCUAGUGAGGGAUAGGAUCACAAACAGCAUGUUUUGACAUAAAUCUAGAAUAUUUAACCCUAAGGGGACUGUUUAACACUGUACUAACUCUAUCUCUACAGCUGGUUAGGGGCUUCUGAUGUCAAACUCAAGUCCAAGGAUCCAGUUGUCUUUGGGAAAUUUUAUUUUUAUUCAAUUCCACAACUAUACCCAAUGCUUUAGUCUUGGCUGCUGAUUGAAACAGGGUAAAGAGUAUAGGGAGGGGCUGGUGCUGUGGUGCAACAGGUUAACACUCUGGCCUGAAGUGCCGGCAUCCCAUAUGGGCGCUGCUUCAAGACCCGGCUGCUCUACUUCCAAUCCAGUUCUCUGCUGUGGCCUGGGAAAGCAGUAGAAGAUGGCCCAAGUCCUUGGGCCCCUGUACCCACGUGGGAGACCCAGAGGAAGCUCCUGGCUCCUGGCUUCGGAUUGAUGCAGCUCCAGCUGUCGCAGCCAACUGGGGAGUGAACCAGCGAAUGGAAGACACCACCCCCCCCCACCCACCGCGUGCCUCUCCUCUCUAUGUGUAACUCUGUCAAAUAAAUAAAUAAAUCUUUUUUUAAAAAAAGAGUAUGGAUCUCUUAGCACUAAGACAAAACAAUUCAAGGGAUAGUUUCUUUUGACUGUAAGUCAAUGAUGUCAUCUGAUUUUAGAGUAACUUGUGAAAAGUUUCCCCCGUAACCCCAUGUUUUUGAAUGUGAUCUGAUCUCUACAUAUGAGCAUGAGCAGUGAGCAAGUUCGAAAGAUUUUACUUAAAGAAAUGGAACUAAAAACAUUCUUGAAAUAACCACCAGAAAGCGAUUCUGAGAGAUAACAAAUUUAAUUAGGAAUACACAUUGCAGUGGGAAUAUGCAUACCAUAGUAAACUAGAGGGCAUAUUCAAUGAGACCAAAAGAGACAUGGUUUUAAAGAUAAAGUUGGGAGGGUUAAGUAACCCAUUUUGAAGCGAUAAUCCCUGCUUAUGAGGAUCAGUAACAAAGGUGGUAUCAGUCCAAAACUGGACAAGCAGUUUCUGGGCAGAUGUCCUCAUAGAAGUGUUGUUUGUAUCCAGUUGCAGUGGUCCUUAUACAACAUUAUGGUUCUGGCAAAAUGUCUUAGGAUACUUGCUAUUAUCAGAGAUACAUGCAUGAGAUUUCCCCUCAUCCCACCCUAAAGACCUCCUGACUUUAUUCAUUUAUUUUAGUUAGAGGUCAACUCAAUUGACUCCAUUUUGAUGUUGACAACUUGCCUGUGAUGUGCUGCCUGACCUUCUCCUCCUUUAAGGAAUUUGCUCCAAACUAUUUCUUUCUCCAUGCUUCUAUACAGAAAAUUGCAAAGCUAGAAUUUCUUCCUUAUUGCAGAGGCCCUUGGAAGCUGACAAAAGAGUGUGAGGACAGAAUGAAGCUAAGUGUUCUCUGCAGAGUAAUGGUUCAUCUGGUCAGCUCAUUGUGAGUAAGAUCACUCCAUCGUUUAGAUACACAGGGUUGCUGCCAGCAUCAUUUAUGGACUUUUGGCUUAGAAAAUUGCACCAUAAUCUGAGUGGGUAUCCUAAAGACCCUGCACGUAAAUUUGUCAAGCAGAUGUGGCUUGAUCAGGAUUGCAAAAUUGGGAAUGGGGGGAUGUCAUUGUUCUUGCAAGCUCACAGAGCAGCUCAAGGUCAAAAUCCAUUGGUACAGGAUUCAAAGCAAAUGUAGUCUCUUGUUUCUACUUUCCCAUUCCUCCCUCCAUCCUAUCCUUUAUUUUUAAGAUUUACUUAUUUAUUUGAAAGGCAGAGUUACAGAGAGUGAGAGGGAGAAACCGAUCUUCCAGCUGCUGGUUCACUCCCCAAGUGGCUGCAAUGGCAAGUGCUGGAUUGGGCCAAAGCCAGGAGCCUGGAAAUCUAUCUGGGUCUCCCACAUGGGUAGCAGGGGCCCAAACACUUGAGCUAUCAUCUGCUGCUUUCCUGGGUGCACUACCAGGGAGCUGUAUUGGAACUGGAGCAGCCAGGACUUGGAUGGGCACUCCUACGGGCAUUGCAGGCUGCACCACAAUGCGAGCCCCUCCCUCCCUCCUUUCUAUCUGAAGAAAAGAGUGAAAUGUUUCCCAGGAGAAAAGCAUGAUUGGUAGGUUCUAUGUGUCUGUGAUUUGCUAACAGUCACAUAGAACAUUUGUGGAAUCCUUAGGUGCUUGUCUUACAGUGGUCUCCCUCUAGAAUUUGUUGAGCUCUGUAAAGCAGGGGAGACCCCAGCAGAGCUUGUGUUAUGGAGUGAUUCCAGUAGGAGUCUUCUUUCUCCCCUCUCCCAACCAUGCUCCCACGCCUUGGGCCGUGUGUAUGUUUGGGGAGGGGGGUGUCUGUACUAUGACAAGACGACCCUUCUUAGCUCACUCUUUUGAAAGCACCAAUUUGCUGACACUUUGAUAUUAUCCCAGGGACAUAAGUCAGGCAGUGCAAUUGCCAUCAGAUUUCCGCAGUCACGAAGGUGAGCACUCGGGGAAGGUUGUAGGUUUACAUUUGAUUUCCACAUCUAUCUUCUCCCUGCAAAUUAAAUUAUUAAUUUUCCCACGUGCCUUCUUGUUUAAUGAGAAGAGUGGUGGCCUUGAUCUGUGCAUGUGUGCAAACAAAACAUCACAGCAGGGGUGCCUGAACUGCCCAGACAAGCUGAGGGGUUAAGCAGUCAGAUGCAACUGUCUUGGUACAGCCUGUGUCGUUUGCAAGAGACUGGCUGGCAGUUGGCAUCAUAAACAUGGCAGGACGUGGGCUCCACGGCUCUUCCCCAUGUACGAAUUCAAAGAUGAAAGCUCCUUUUAUGAAUGCAAAGGAAAGAUCAAAAGAAGGAGAAAUAAUGGCAUUUAAAAUGCACAUGUGAGAUGCAAAAUUAUAAUAUGAUUGUUUUUCCAGGUUCCAUUACAGUGGUGCUAUUUUCUGAGAUGCUACAGUGUUGGUUGAUUACUUUUCCAUGUUUGAGAUAAUAAAUGCUCACAUCAACAUGAUUGUAGAUUUGUUACCAUAUGACUUCUACCACAUAUGGCUUUUCCAGCUUUUCACAGGAACAUCUUACUCAUUAAAUAUGAGUAUUAACUUUCCCUAGUCUAGUAUUCUGAAUACCAGAGCCUGGUUCCCAUUUGACGAAAGGAUGACAUAUAUCCAUGUGAGUUAUUUAUUAAUAGAAAUCAUUUAAAUAUGCAAAUUUUACAUAUUAGCUUUUUGUUUAGGGUCAAUAAUUACCUUUUGUUUUAUUUCAUGUUAAUUGAAUAUUGGGAUUUCUGUCAUAUCUCAAGCAACGUAACUACUAUAUCUUGAUUUUUUUUAAAAAAUGUAUUUAUUUUAUUUGAAAGAGUUACACAGAGAGAGAAGGAAAGGCAGAGAGAGAGAGAGAAAGGUCUUCCAUCUGCUGGUUCACUCCCCAGAUGGCCACAAAAGCUGGAGCUGUGCCCAUCCCAAGUCAGGAGCCAGGAGCUUCUUCCAGGUCUCCCACAUAGGUGCAGGGGUCCAAGGACUUGGGCCAUAUUCCACUACUUUCUCAGGCCAUAGCAGAGAACUGGGUUGGAAGUGGAGCAGCCAGGACUCAAACCGGUACCCAAUGGGAUGCUGGCACUUAAGGUGGCAGUUUUACCUGCUAUACCACAGUGCCAGCCCCUAUAUCUUGAUUUUUUUUAAAAGACUUAUUUAUUUAUCUGAAAAUCAGAAUUACAGAGAAAGAGAAUCAGAUUUUUGAUCCACUGGUUCAUUCCCCAUAUGACUGCAAUGGCCAGGGCUGGCCAGUCUGAAGCCAGGAGCCAGGAGCUUGAUCCAGGUCUCCCACAUCAGUGGCAGGAGCCCAAAUACUUGAAUCAUCUUCUGCUUUUCCCAGACCAUUAGCAGUGAGCUGGAUGGGAAGUGGAGCAGCCGGGACACAAACUGGCACUUGUGUAGCUUGAUAUUAGAGUGUUGGGUUUAUGGCUUUAUGACAUGAUCAAAUUCCACCUUAGUGAUUACAGAGGAUUUCAGAUUGUUAUUUAAAAGAUUUGUUAGCACUUGUCUUUGUUUUAUAAAGGUCAAUAUCUUCUUUGAGGAUCUCAAGUUCGCCUUUUCUCAAUAAGUGGUAGUGAUAUAUUCAUUUAUUGAAAUUAAAUUAGAACUUCAAAGUUAAGCUGAAUGAAGACAUAAUUUUGGUGAUUCUUUAUGAUAACUUAAAAGCUGUAUAUAGCUCCCAGAUCAAGAAUAUUAUCAUCUCUUUGGGUCCCCACCACAUCUCCUACUUAUUAGUUAUUCCAGAGGGGGAAAAAUACAAUUUUCUGAGUCACUGUACAAUCUAGGCACAGAACGGUAUCACUCAGCAGUCUAUGUGAAAAGUAUUGAUCUCUCUGAUCACUGUAGCAUUUUAAAUAUCUCUCAUUCAUAAUAUGGUAUAUAAUGUAUCAUUUUAUUUUUGAGAACUUAUGAAAUUAUUUCUUUAAAAAUUAAGAAAGAUAAGAUCACUCAGGAGAAAAUUACUUUUCUUGUUUAAGUACAUCUAAAUCAUUUAUAAAGGGAAAAAAUAUUCAAAGAACUCCCAGCUCUACCCAUUCCCACUGGGUAGAAGGAGACAAUCUUUCAGUUAUAAUUAUAGUUUCUAAUAAAAGGAGAAAGUUUGUACAGUAUUUUUAUAAUAAAUUUCUUUGGGAAAAAUUGACUUCCAUGUAGUAAAACAUUUCUGUACAUUUGGUUUGUGAUGCUGUUAAAUGCAAUGAAAUGUACAUCUAUUUAUACAGCUUGUGGGCACUUAUUAGUUGGUUCUGUGUGCAUUUCAUGAAAGAAUAUCUGGCCUUAAUCACUUGUAUUUUCAUAGGACAAGUAUCAGGAAAAUCCCACACUUAAUUGCAAAUAUGUGAAAUUACAAUCUCCAGGCAAAUGGCUUGUGAAACCUUUGGCUGGUUUGCAAUAACCUUUGCUAAGUCUCAGUAUAGUUUAUUAAAAGUACCAUGUUGGCUCCACUUUGAACUGCAGCCUCAUUUUUCACGUUCUGUUUCAAAGGAGCCCUCUGCUGGACAGCUCUGCAUGAUAUCAUAUGCACACACAUAUUUAUAUUUGAUUUAUAGGCUAUAGUUAAUAUAACCCAAAAGCCAUUUGUGAUUGAAACUCUAUCGUUGCAAAUUGAAUGCAUCGCUGAAACCUGUUUUGUCAUCACUUUUUCGUAUUUAAUGAACAUGCAAUUGUCUAAAAAUAAAAUGUUCAUCCUUAAAGUUUACUGUAAAUCACUGUACAUCAGCAUAUUCCCACACAUGAGAUAAUCGUACUAAAUUAACAUUCAUUACCAAUAAUUUUAGUAAUGAAUUAUUCAGCUGAUAUGCAAUUAUCACACACAUUUCUAAAGCAAUUACUUUAUUACAUAGGUAUUCCAUGCCAUUGAUUAUACUUGUCUGUAUUGCGUAUGUAAAUGCAAGGAAUCUUUGCACUGACCAUAGUUUCAGAUGCAAGCUUUUUUUUAAAAACUGUUCAUUUCUUCAGUGUCAUCAGGUUGUGAAGGUAUAUGGCUAGGAUUAACUACAUUUUAGGAAACUUGUGGAUACCAAAAAAUUGCUGUGAUAAAAUCAGACAAAACCUUAAAAAAAUUGUAGCGUGAAGUUACAGAAAUAGAUGGUUUUCUAAGUGAUUUAUCAGUAGGCACAUAUCAUCAUCAUUGUGUUUUAAGAGAUAUUACUCUAGGGACCUGCACCAUGGCAAAGUGGGUGGAGCCACCGCCUGCAGUACCAGCAUCCCAUAUGGGUGCCGAUUUGAUUCCCAGCUGCUCCAUUUCUUUCUGGGAAGGCAAUGGAGGAUGACCCAUGUGCUUGGGCCCCUGCACUCUUGUGGGAGACCCAGAGGAGGCUCCUGAAUCCGGACCAGCUCAGCUCUGGCCAUUGGGACUAUUUGGGGAGUGAACCAGCAGAUGGAAGAUCUCUCUCUGUCUUUGUCUCUCCCUCUCUCACUAUCUCUGUAACUCUUUCAAAUAAAUAAGUCUUUAAAAAAUAAAUAAAUGCAAGCUAUUCAGAAACUGAUAAAUGAUAACUUCAAUUAUAGUCUCAUCCAUAUUUAGCCUUAGUUAUAAGACAGUGAAGGGAGACCACAUAGCAUCAUGGAACAGUCUUUCCAGCUGGAGAGACUGAGUUCAAAUCUUGCCUUUGUGGCUCUGAUUUGCCUGACCUCGUCUUCAGACAGAGGGCAGUGAAGCAAUCAGAGAGCACUGUGGUGAGGGUUAUUAACAUGUGUCGAGAGCCCAGCACCGCAACCAGGUAACUGUGUAACAUGCCGCUGGAAUGUUCUCCAUGCCUCUGCAGGUAACUGUUUAUUAGAGCAGGUGUACGUUGCUUAUGUAAGCAAGUAGCCACCAAGAUUUAACUGUUCUUCGAUGCAAUUUAUGUGUAGCAGGUUAAGUAUAGUGAGAUGGAAGUCAUGAAUAGUAUGUGAGAAGUUGUAGGCAACGUCUCAGCUUGCAAACUUUAGAGUUAAACCUGAUUUGUCAAAGCCUGGAGAAGGCCAUUCCUCUGAAAUGGCUGAAGCAAUGGGAGCCAUCAAAGCUGUGUUCAGUGCAAGCAGAUCUUUCAAAAAAUUAUGUUGAAAGUGAAAAAUUAUUGUUUUAGAACGUUUUAGUGUAACAGUCAUCUCAUUUCCAUGGCUGAAGUGAACUAGAACGAGGAAUGGCAGGACUGAGAAAGCAUCGUUAGGUCAGUCCUCACUGGUUCUGUCUUGGAUUAUGCACCCAUUAGGAUUUACGUCACAGAAAGUUGAUUCUUUUGAACAUCUGUAAGGAAAUUCUGUAGCUUGGCAGUAGCUUACGUGUGUGUGUAUAUUUUCACAGAAGUGUAAACAAGGACCCAGAAUAUAGUGUCAGUUGAGUGAAUUUUGUUUGAAUAAACAAAAGAAUAAACAGAGCAUUCUUUUGUCAAGUGGCAAAUGUUAGAAUAUUCUUCAGUAGAUGAUGAGCCAAGUUAGACUCUUCAUAGGAGGAAGACCCUCAGUACAAAGCCUUUGACUUAAAUAGUUUGGGGGGAUGGGGACCUAUAUACAUAUCAGCAGCCAAAAUGCUUUAAAGGUCAAAUUCAGGUGAAUAGAUGUGCCCACAUAUAGAAAAUGUAACAAAUAUAAUUUAAUGAUCCAGAUAUCUCAGAAAUCUGCAAAAAGUUGUGAGUCAAGAAACAUUAAUUUAUUUGAACACAUUGACUAAAUAAAUAUACAGUUAUGUGUCCAGUGCUUUGUUGGAUACUCUGAGGGAUAUAAUGAAGAAUAAGACUCAUUUUUUUUUUUGCCUUAAAGGAGCUUGUAGUCCUUUUAGGGGAAAAUAUAAAUUACUGUGAUUAAUAAAUUCCUAGUGUUGUGGGUCAAAGCAUUGUGGGAUGGUGUCUACCCAGAAGGCAACAUGGAAGUUGUAGAUCUUUAAUUGGACAUAUAGUUUAAGCAUUGGGCAUUUUGGGCAUUUUAUACAAAUGGGCAUUGAGCAUGUUAUAAUGCUUGUGGGACCUAUGAAGUAUUUAUCCUCUGUGAAAUCCAUCAAUCAUAACCUGGCAUCCAUCGUUGGUGGUUCAGGUGUCAAACGUGAGGGGCUAGAUCAAAGGGCAAAACCUGGUCAAGUAAGUUUUGGUAAAAAGUUUUGAAUUUGAUGAGCCUGACCCAACUUAGAUUUAAUAGUUGUAAUAGUUUCAAAAAAUUCUAAAAAUUUAAUAAAAUAUCUUAUCAAAAUAAAAUAAUGUUCAUGACACUUCAGUUUUCUGUUUUCCAAAUGUUCUGGCAUCAUCCUGUACUUCAGACCCGAGUUAAGGAUUUAGGAUUUUAGAAAGUCUUAUCUCUGAUACUCUACAAAGGUGUAUUAAUUUUUAAAUACUUUUUGGUAAUUUGCUAUUUAGCUAUGUUAAAUAUUAUAGAAUUCUGGAUUUAUGUCAAAUGAAAUGAGUUCUUUUGCCACCAUUUGUGUUACAUGAUUAGAUACUAGAUAAUACAGCAUCUAAUGUGCUUCCAGCUAGGCGAUGCCUUAGGUCAAGGACAACAUAAGUUGGAUUUGUUUACGCAAAGGUGGAGGCAGGUAAAUGAACAUGACCGAAAGUGAGUGAGAGUGAUUUUGUUAAAGAACAUAUUCAAACUUACCCGAUGCGGCAUUAGCUCAUCCUUUCCAGUAAAUGUAAUGUCAACAAUUGCCAGUGUAUAUAGUGUUAGUCAACCCAAGUCACAGUCAUCUUCAUCUUUACCCCCCAUUUCCAUGGGUAUUGUAUAGAGAAGAAGCCUUUCUCCCUCCUCUACUUCACACCGACCCCCGUGUCUCUGAGGCCUCUCAGACACGACAGGAUGGCCUACCAUGGGGCCGCUGUGUCUGAGAGAAGAGGCUAGUUCCUCAGGACAGUAAGCACACAGUAGAUCCGACAAGGCAGGUGUGGCUGGGACCAGCUCAUUUCUCUGUAGCCACGCAGUUGGCAGUGUGCCUGGAGUGGAGGCUCCUUAGAGAAAGGGAGGAGUGGAAAGAAGCAUGAAAAAUGGAUGCUAUAGAGAGAUGACUCCCUUCUUGUGGGUGUUGUGUCCCAUUAUGCUGCCAGGUCUCCUGCUGACUACUUACUGGAUGCCUGCAACUGUUACCCCUAAGUAGGAUAAACUGAUCAGAGGCGUGAGCUUUCAGAAGGGCUUCAACGGAUACAUAGAUUUAAAGAAGCAAAAUCUGUAAUAGCUAACUAAGCAGAUCAAGGAGCACAUGUGGCACAUUUAAGGCACUAUCCUGGAAAGAUUAUCUACUUACUGAGCAACUGUGGUAUGUGCAUGUGUGCUAGGUCACAGAAACAUACGAACUGAAGCCAAAAACAUCCCCCUUAGAAAAUCCUCCCCAAGCCUCUCAUCGUCAUCUCCUUGCAUUGUGUUUUUAGAUCCUGGACAAGAAACUACUAUUUUUAUAAAUCAGUAUUGCUAGUGCUUCCUACUGUUCGAAAUUCAUGUUCCUCAAAGGUCAGUGACUGUAUUUACAUUUUUCCCCGAAUAGUCAAGUAUUGCUGCAUAUUCUCAUCCAAUUUACAACCUAUUUCAUCAGUGUAAAUAAUUAGUUUUUCUGAAUAAAUAUGUAUAUUUGCUUCAGAUACCCUUGAGGCUUUCUGGGCACAAUUCAGAUGCAUACGUGGAAACUUCAACUCACUUGCAACUAGUUAGGAAUCUGAGAAACCAAGGACACUAACUUUGUUAAUUAGGAAAAACAACAACCCUUCCUUAUUGAAAUUCCAAAUGCUAAGCCUUAUCUUCUAUUCUGAUGUUUUCAUUUUGAGACUGGUUCUGGCCCAUGCCAUCCCUACAUAUUUUGCUUACAAGUGGGCUUCUGAAAGACUUGUUUAAAGUCAUCCAGGGAGAAGGAAAAUAUCCAUUAACUCACAGCCUCUUAUGGUGAUUCCCCACUCAGCAACCUGGAGACCAAUAGUCCAUCAGUUCACAAAGGCAGCCCAGGAGUUAGCUGACUGAUGUUCAAUGACUUAUUUCUAUCAUUCAAAGCUGUAUCAGUGAUAUGACCAGUUUUGGUUUUAUGUCUUCUAGUUAACUGAUCUCAUCAGCCAUCUAGUGAGAGAAUUGGUUUUAAACCUUCACAGGCACUGUGGUUCCUGUUAGGGAUCACUAAGGCAAUGUAGAACCAGAUUUUCCAAGUUUGCCUGCUUGGGCAAGGGAAAAAAAAAAAAAAAAAACAGUGGCAGGAGUUACCUGAUAGAUCUGUGGCCAUAGAGAAAGUCAGGUUAAGAAGGACAUGACUUAUAAUUGAAACCCUUGGUCCCCACGCUUUUAUCCACUUAAUAGUUUUCUACUUUCUGGACUCUACAGUGUAGUAUUCAAGGAAUCCAAUUGAGUGUCCCAAAUAGAGUGGCCUUUAAUCUUCCCACAAGAUUGAUAAAGAGCCCCUUACUGUACUGGAAUAAAUAGCCCUGCCUGAUGAGAGGACAACCACUGUGGGAUUGAACUGAUGUGAAGGAUGGAAGAGGUGGCGGCAUAAUUUGACUUUCACUCUAACUAUUCAGUGAUCCUAAUCUUGUAUAUAUUUAUGGCCACAUAAAGAUUGACGUUAUGCUGCAGUGCAUAAACAGGGCCUUUCAGAGGCACGGGCCACAGCCAGGGGCCUCCCCGUCACGACGGUAGAUGCAGCAGGAUAGAGCUUGUGCUCACAGACCAGGAAAAGGUGCCAGACCCUGGCCAGAUCGUCACAAGCUGCUGUGAUCCUAUUUCUCCCUUCAUUUCCCAGUCCAUUUCCACACGCUCUCUUCGUAGUUGCUGGUGAGGUGGGCAGCGUUUAAAUUGGCUAAGAAUUUUUUUGGUGACGAUGUAAAGGGGAUGAUAAAUUAAGCCAGAAGGCACUGAAGUACUGAAAAUAUGCUGUAACACAUUGGGGAAUAGAUGACACGUAUGUCAGUCAAAUGAAGACCAAGGUUGUCUCGGUGGUUAAAAAAAAAAAAAAAAACCUGCUGAUGUGACUGCUUGUGGAAUUUUUUGAUCAUUGCUCCAUAUAAAAUAAACAAACAUGAUCAUGUAAUUUCAUGUGGAAUUGCUGAGCAUAAGGAAAACAACACAUUCUAGGGUGAGACGGAUCCUGCUCUCACCUGCUUUGUGUGUUUCCGUGAAAUAGAGCAGUGUACGUACACAGGCUAUCCAAAGGGAAGAGAGAGAAGUCUCUCCAACUAUCAGGAAACUGGAGCUGAAGGAGGAGCUGCUGCCAAGAGCUCCCGGUGCAUGGGAGACGCACAGCAGAAACAGUUGUGUCGUAGCAAGAGUUUCCAGUAUUUGGACAGUAGUAUGUGAGGUGGAGGCUGGAUUACAAGGCAGAACCAGGGCCAAGACAGGUAGAAGAGUCUCUCAAAAAAAGAGAAACAGGGUUGCAGGCCAUGGGAAGGUGUUGACCAAUCAUGAUUUAGGGUAAUACUGAAAUAUCAGCUUCCUUCUUUCUUAACUUAGUCAUUGGCUUCCUGUAUUUGUGGUAAUACUGGCUGAUCACUGUAGUUUGAAAAGCAUGGCCUUUCUUUUUUGUCCUAAGGGACUGGAAAUACAGCAUCCCUGCGUGAUGGCCAAAAUUUUUCUGGUUUGAGUUCUUGUGUUGUAAAUGACUCAGCUGGACUGUUAUGUCAGUAGUGAUUCUUCCAGUUUUGGGGCAGGCUUCCAGAAUCCACAUUCAGAGUCACUAAGACAUCCUGCCUCUGACUUGUGGUAAUAAAUACGUGGUAUGAGCUUUCACCAUCAAUUUUAUCUUUAAGACAAAAUACCAAGAAAUCAUCUCCACCAAGCAUAAAAAAUUUUCACAUUGAUUAGUAAACAGCAAAGACAAAAGGAGAGGGAUGGUCACACCUGAAAUGCAUGCUUUAGAGUUCUGUUGUGAUGCCUCCAUCACUCAGUGGUCUCAGCCUUUGAAUUCUUCAAAACCACGUGGGCCUGUGGAGCUAAGGCUGGAUAAGUGAGCGAAAUGUAGGUGUUAAAUUUCUACAGUGGUUCAGCUUCCAAAAUUAUAAAUGAUAUCAUCUUGGGAAAAUAGUACCUUUUUAAAAAAAACUGAAGCAUGCUACAGAAACUGAUUUUUCGGAAACAUUGCUACAGUCUUUGUGACGUGAAUAGGGCAUCUGUAGACAGUGUUUAUUCUACGUGGUGGAUAAGAAAGCUAUUACAGAGACAGACUAAGGCCGUGCCUGCCUAAGCUGCAUAAAGAAAGACCAUUCACUUUUGUGUAUUUUAAGAUCUUUCCUACUGCUCCCAGGGGACAAAUAUGUGGUUUGUCUAGAUAAAAUAAACAGUUGCAUGAGUAGCUAUCCUUAAAGUUCUUUGUAGGGAACCCACAAGGAAAAGGCACAAGUUGACUUCCCUAGUCUCUCCAUGUGUUAUUGUGGGACAUUUAGUUGCCCUGGGCUCCUCAUAGCUGGUUUUUCACUUGGAAUUAUGGCUGAAUCCAUGCCCAGUGAGUGAAUGCUCAGGAGGAACCUCUGUCAUGAAAAACGCAAAUGCUCACUGGAAUAAUAAAUUAGAUCAUUAAAUAGAUGAAAGGGGUCAGUGUUGUGGCACAGUGAGUUACCUGCCUCUUGCAAUGCUGGUCCACGUUAGAGCACUGGUUUAAGUCCCAGCUGCUCUGCUUCCAACUCAGCGUCAUGUUAACGUACCUAGUAAGGCAACAGAUGGCCUGAGGAUGUGGGCCCCUGCCACUCAUGUGGUAAACCUGGAUGGAGUUGCUUGCUCUGACCUUGGCCUAGCUCAGCCCUGGCUGUGGCAGCCAUUUGAGAGUGAACCAGAGGAUGGAAGAGCUCUCCCUGUCUCACUCUGCCUCUCAAACAAACAAAUAGAUAAAUACAUACUUUUUAAAACUUACAACAACUUGCCUGGGAUGUAUGUUUAGCCUACUGGUUAAUACUCUGGUGAAGACACCCCAUCCUAUAUCAUGAGUACCUACAUUCAACUUCCUGACUACAACUUCCUGUAAUGCAGACCCAGAGAGGCGGCAGGUGAUGGCUCAAGUGAUUGAUUGGGUUCUUGCCACCCAUAUGUGAGACCUCUCGCUUUGGCCCAGCCACAGCCCCAGCCAUUAAAAGCAUUUGGGGAAUGAACCAGCAGAGAGAAACUCCUUGUCUCUCAAGUAAACACAUUCAUAAAGUGUUUUAAACAGAGCAAUCAGUUGCAGGAUCCCUAAGCAGUCUUUAUCAAAAGGUAAGAGCUAAGUAAGAUCAGCUGCAAUGCAAGCCAAGUUUUCUAGUGGUUUAGAAGAUGUUAGAAACCAACCCGAGAGAGAAAUGUCCUCAGUUUCUCACUAGUUAGCAAAGAAGAUAAAAGCAGAAUAUGAAUUUGGUGUUGUAAUGCAAAAUUCCUGUGCUGAAAGGUAUUUUCACAGUUGAACUUCUUCGCCAAACUCAACAGCCGUCUGUGUAGGUGCUAAAGGCAUCAGAUGGUGAAGCUGAUGCUCGUACCAAAGCCAUGACCUAAAAAUGACAGUGACGCCAGGACAUGCUGGGGGAGUUGCCAGAUCUUGAAGGUGGAUGGAACCUGUGAAAUCCCCCAACACCUCAUGUUCCCGAUGAGAAUACUGAGAAGCGGUGUGCUGCCAGAUCCAGGUCCUUGUCACUGACCGUGUUGAUACACAGAGGAUGCUGAGGAGAGAGGGCUCCUCUGGGCCAGCUCAGGCGAAGCUGCAUGAGCUCCAGGGUGCUGUGCACUGUGCUUCCUCUGCAGGUCAUUGGCUGCUGGCAAAACUGGGUUUCAUGCCGUGGGAAGGUGUUGACCAAUUAUGAUUUGGGGUAAUGCUAAACUAUCAACUUCCUUCGUUCUUAAUAAUUAGCUUCCUGUAUUUGUUGUAACCCAGCUUAUCAUUAGAAUGUGAAAAACCUUGGUCCUUCUUUUUUGUGCUAAGGAACUGUAAAUAUGGCAAAUCUGUCCUAAAAGGCCAAAUAGCUAUUUUUCUUAAUAUUCUUUAUCUUUUUCUGUUUUAGGCUGUUGCUUUGACAUCAGAUUGUACAUUAAAUAUUGGCCUGAAGAAGUUGGGUUUGGUAAAGAAUGUUGCAAAAAUCUCUUCCUGUCUUGUGUUUUAAGGAAAUGAUUUGUUAUCUUCAGCUUAUUACCUGACAUUUAUUUUUGUUGGCUUUUUAGUGUCUUGUGAACUUUGUUCUACUAUAGAGAUAAGUUUAAAUCCUGAUGCUUGAGGCUUUAUCUGGACUCUCCCUCUGAAAUACAUUUCAUCUUGGUAUCAGAAUGCCUUUAUGAAGACAUUGAUAAAAAUAGAGAAUGAUUCAGGAUAACUACAGGGGAAAACAGCAGAAGAGAGAACUUUCCAGAAAAAUGUGCUUCCAUCAUUUAGCAUUUGAAUUCGGUUGGUCAACUAGUUCUUACUCCACUUAAAAUGUUUUGUCUAUCAAGUCUUCCAAAAUUUCAAGUCCAUCAAAUACGCUGCUAAAAGCAACAUUGUGGUUAGAAGAAAUUGUUUAGGUUCAGAUCUAGCAAUUCUAGAAAAAGAGGAAAAAAUACUAAAACAUUGAGACUUGUAGUACAUGGGUGCUGUCUCUUAGUACACAUUGGUCUCCUUCACAGAUAUUCAUAAAUCAUCAUUAAUGAAAUGGUCCAGGAUUACCAAGCAUGGUACUGGAUCUUUAGGUUAUGAUUUUCCUGCAGCAAGUAGCUUGGACAUUGGUGAUUUUGUAUAUUUACUUUUUCUAUUGAAGUUGAAGAAAUAUAUAUGAACCAUACAUAUAUAAUAUAAAUGUACACAUAUGCAUGCACCUGCUUCAUACACAUAUAAGCAUUAUCCCUUGUCCUCUUAAAGGAUACUGUUGACCCUUUAAGUUUUUAAAAACUAUUUUUGUAUCCUCUUCUUUACCCAGUGGCGAAUCAGCAACCACAUAGUCUUGCCAGUUACGCAUUCCCUGACCCUUUCUGAUUUGCUAUUUCAUGCCAGAGUCAUGAGUAUAUGUGCAUUGCUUGCGUACUUCCUUGCCAGAAGUGUUCAUAAGUCCAAGAUCACUCCAAGCUCCAGCCUUUUGGACUCUGUUGUUUAGUUCCUUGCUAUUUUUAAACUCAUCUGACUUUUUUACUGUGACUCCUUCCAUAUCUUACAUAUCCUUUUAUUUUUUAAAGAAAGAUUUAUUAUUUAUUUAUUUGAAAGGCAGAGUUACACAGAGAGAGAAGGAGAGGCAGAGAGAGAGAGGUCUUCCAUCUGCUAGUUCACUCCCCAGUUGGCCGCAAUGGCCGGAGCUGGGCCGAUCCAAAGCCAGGAGCCGGGAGUUUCUUCCGGGUCUCCCACGCAGUGCAGAGGCCCAAGGACUUGGGCCAUCUUCUGCUUUCCCAGGCCAUAGCAGAGAGCUGGAUCGGAAGUGGAGCAGCUGGGACUUGAACUGGCACCCAUGUAGGAUGCGUGCACUGCAGGUGGUGGCUUUACCUGCUACGCCACAGCACCAGCCCCUUCGAUACCCUUUUAACAUCUGCGUCAACAAGUCUGCUUCCAACUUAAUAAUUUUCUUUUACUUUGAUUUCUCUCACUACUGUACUUUUGUAUGUCAGUCAUUGCAACAGGACUUUAUCCUGUAGAAUCUCCAGAUCACCUUGAGAAGUACUCCAUUGUAGGAUCUCUAGUCAUGGCAUUAUGCCUGUCUGUUCACUCCACAUUUUGAAUCCAUAUAUAUGAAGCUCAUGGCAUAUGACUGAGGACAUUCAACCUCAUCCUUCAUGAUAAUGACCACUGUAUAAUGUUACAGGUCUGUUGCUAAAUUCUAAAUCUUAGCGAUGUUUCUCCCUCCAUUUGUCACUAAGAAAAUGCGCAGGGGCUAAAAAAAUGUGCAAACCAAGUCAUGGGAACAGAGGAUGAAAUGGGGCCGUGAAACCUAUGGAAAAGAAAGCUUGCGAGAGCUGAAGACCAACCUUGCAAUAGUUGAAGGACCAACUUGAAGGAGACAGGUUCGUUUAAAUCUGCACAUUUAGAGGAAUUCAAAUGAAAACCAACAGCUCAACAGAUUUUUUUUUUUUUUUUGAUAGCACUAUAGAGGGAUCUCAUACUGAACGGCUGGCCAGCGGGUAGCUGGUGUAGGACAGCUACACCACUGCAGUGUUCAGGGGCUGCUGAGGCCACUCCCUGGGAGGGUCAGCAUAGGUGGGGCUCAGGCACCGGCCUGGAUAACGUUUACGGUUCCUCCAACUCUGAUAUCACAUAAUCUUAUACUCUACUUUGUGGAUCAGAUUUGUGAGAGAUUUAAGACAACUCCGAAAAUCAGUGCCCAUCUAUCCACGUUUCUUCCCCUUUCUCAAAGUUGGAAUUGCCUGUGAGGCAGGAAUUUAUCAGCUGCUCUGUUCUGAUCUAUCCGGUUGAUACUCCCAAUAGAUACUCCAAAUGUGAGGUUCCCUCAUUACCAUGUUAUCAUUCUGCUACCCAAUUUGAUAAUCUGCUUUCAGAAAUUAUCCUCCUUAUCCUCCAUCAGUCAUCAGUAAUCUUCUCCCGUAGCAACCUCGGUUGUUUUUUAACUUAACCCAAAUAUUUUCCAUUAAGUUCCCAUCAUCUACGGCUAUUUUUUCCUUAGAUAUUUAGCUUGAUGGUUCCUGUUAGUUCUCUUUUGUCAAUGCAUGCUCUCUGUCACCUUUGUGAAUGCAUCAGUCACUUUUGUGUAUUAAAAGUGUGUAUAUGGCUCACUUUUGUGUAUUAAACAUUAUUCAUACUAGUCUUUGUGCUAGUAUUUCAAGUUCACUUUUAUUUUCUAUAUUUAUUAGAAUACAGACCCUUAAAACUAUAAGCAUUGGUGAUAAAACUUCUUUUAUUUUGUCUAUAAAAUUCACUGUCGUCUACUCUCCCAUAGAACAUGAUGGGAGACUUCGCCCCAGCUCUUCAUGUGCCUCCUAUGUCCCCUUUUAGCUCUCUUCAUCUGCCUGAUAUAUUUCCUGGUCUUUAUAAGAACUCUUCCGUCUUGAGCCAGAGGAGUGCAUUGUAAUUCUGUUACACAGUUUCAAAAACAUAUUUUCAAUUAAAGAAAAAUCUGUUGACAUUGCUCUUCCAACUAGUUUUCUGAUUCCAGGUUAUGACCUCAAAGAUGAAAAUAUUCCUCCAGGAUCUCCAGUUUUCAGGACCAAAGCUUUAAAGUUUCUACGGGCAAUUUGAAGUACUUUAUAUAAUUGCCAUUCAUUCUCCCUUCCAUCACAGCAAUGUGUCAGAGUUUGUGCAUUGGGUAGAAUGUCUUUUUCAGAAACAAUGAGCUUCCUGAUUAUUCCUGCUGAAUUACCACCCCUUCAGCCAGUAGAGAGUUACCAACUGACCCACCAGCCUGUGUUUCCCUAGAAACUAUGAAGGACCCACCCUGGGCUGAGGGGUCUGCCUCGUCCUCGUCUUUGGGCCAAGGGUGCUGUACUUGCUUCAGAAGAUCCGAAUUCACCUGCAGUGGGCAGUGUCAUUUAUAGGUUUUAUGAUUUUAGUGGAAUCUAGUUUUCCCUUCUCUUUUGUCCUCUGUGAUAGCUUCAGCUCUCUAAUCCUCCUAUGUUCCAUUUCGUUCAGCAUCAACCCCACUGAAAUCUUUUUCUUCCAGUUUUCAUCUUGGAUUAUUUUUUCCAUCUUCUCUAGGAACACUUCAUCCUUUCUAAUAAGCUGCAGAUACGUAGAUAUUCCUCAAAUUCUUUCAUGUUCUUUACUGGAUAGUUUUAUCUCAUUCCUCCUUCAGAGAAAAUGGGGAAAACUUAUUACUGGUCUCAAUAGAAAAUUCUUGAUUUGACUCAGUAGAUUCUGUCAGUCUUGUUUUUUUUUCCUUUUCUAGCUGAGUAAUGCUAAUGUAUUACCUAAUUUCUUAUGUAAUUUAUUUUCCAAACAGGAGUUUUUAAUUAUUAAGGAAAAUAUGCUUUAUUUGAAUAUGAUCUGACUAAUGCUGAAAAAUGUGACUACUAUUUCCCGUGCUUCUUGAUGUUUUUCUAAUAUUACAUUGACUUGAAGUAAAAUACUACGUUUGAGGUUUAGGAUAAACUCAUCAACUUAUAUGGGUGCAUUUGCAUGUAGCCGCUCAUUGCAUAUUGGGUCUUACGGAUACUUGCCAAAUAGCUUUAUUCACCAGCUGCUAUUCUGAAUGUUGAGAUAUCCUCAUGAACAAAGCAUGCACCUUCAUUAAAGGAGCUCGCAAUUUGUGAGAGCGAGGCUGACCUGUAAUAGCAACCCAGUGUGCAACAUGCUAUCAUGUCAUGUGGGCAUAUACAAAGAUCAGGUGGGGCCCAAAGGACUACCCUAACUUGAUCAUAGAAUUUGAGAGUCUUUGUAGAGAAGGAUACUUUCAAUGUGCAUUCUGAUGGAUAUGUAAGUUGUCACAUGAAUGAGAGAAUUCAAAAUCCAAGAAAUAUGUAAAGGCACAGAAACACAAGAGAGUGUGGCAUCCUGCAGGACCUGUUAGAUAACCUGGCUGCAUUCUAUUUGUGGCGUGUGUGUGUGUGUGUGUGUGUGAGAGAGAGAGAGAGAGAGAGAGAGAGACAGAGAAAGAGAGAGAGAAAGAAUGUUGGUAUAGAAUGACAUGAUACUGGACCUCACAUAGAAUAGUAAGAUACUAGAAAAUUUUGUUCUACGUACUGAUUUUUCUCAAUGUAUAAAUGCAAUUAUGACACAAAACAAGACUUGGAGAUUAGAAGUAGGGUGACCAAAUUGGAGAGAAGGGAAGGUAGCAAAGAUCUGAAAUUGAGGUAGCAGCAGUGAGAAUAGAGAAGAGAUGAAAAUUCAGGUGACAUUUAGAAAAUGGAAGAGACAAGACUUGGGAACUGAGUAGAUAUAUAUGUGUUGAGGAACAGUCUGACUUCAAUACGUCUGGCCCAGAAUACUUGGGUCGAUAAUGGCAAUGAUAAAUAUGGAUCAUCUGGGAUGAUGAUAUAAUUUUGGGAGGGGUAAGAGAGAUGAUUAAUUCAACUGAAGAGAUAAACAGUUUGAAGUUCCCUUGGGACAUAUAGACAUGGACCUGAUUAGACUCUGAGGCUCAGGAGCCUUACAGAUUUGACCAUCAUCUGAAUUUGUAUAAUAAGAGUGAUAGACUUGGAUGAAACCAUCCAAGAACGCAAAAUUUUAAAAGAAAAAAAAUCAAAGGCCCAGACUCCUAGGAGAUGCCAUAAUUUAGUAGGAAAGCAGUUAUUAUCUCCCUAGGAGACAGAGCAAGGGUAGACUAGGAAUCUUGAAAAGAGGAGUGACGAUUUGGAAAAGCAAUUCAAAAACAAGCUCAUGAGGACAAUGCAAAAGGAUGGGUGAAAGUGGAAGUGGCACCAAGAGUCCAUCUCCGUUUUGGUGGCACAUGUUUGAAUUGUACUUAAUGCAACGCACUGUCCGGGAUGUGCUGUGUUACAGAUGUUCUUGCCAACAAGAAUGUGACUACCCUGUUCCUGUUUUACAAGAUCACUUUAAAUUCUGAGAUUGGCUUGCAAGAAAGAAUUCUGUGUACACCUACCCUUUGGUCAUCUGUUGUCAUAAUGAGGAUCUUCUCUGUGCCAUCCUUUGGAGCCACGGUGAAAAUGUCAAGGAUGAGGGUUUUGUAUUGCUGAAAACUUCUGUCCUGCUUCCUUUGCGCUUAUGGGGUUGGGGAAUUAGAAUCAUCUCAGCAUCUGGCCUGGCUGGUCAGCACAGUCCCAGAGUUUGCAGGCCAGAAUCUGUCAGCAUUGGACGAUUCAGUUAGAAAGAGGAAGUGAUGACAUAUUCGUAGCCAAAAUCAUCAGCAUUGGGAAUGGGGAGCAUUUAAAGAAGUUGGGGAGAGGGGUAGAGAAGGGAAUUUUUCAAAAGGAAAACCCUCUGGUGCUCAAGGACCGUUAAGCACCCGGCCCCACCCAGGCCUUCAGGAGCAAGCAGAAGUGGUCCUAUCUGCUUUGUGUCCACAGAGAGCAGACUACAGGAGUUCUGGACAGGACGCAGAUUUACCAAGGAUAAAGGAGAGUCUGAGAAUGGCCAAGUGUGCCUCAGUCCCACAUAUCUUUCCCAACUCCACCUUGAUGUUUAGAGAGUGUUCUGGAUAGACAGUACCACCUGUAUCUUAGCGUCAAAUCAGCAGACUAAUCCCAGGGGUAAAUCCCAUCCUUGGACUACUUUCAUAUAUACAUCUUUAUUAGCAUGUAGCCAUUCCCAUUAGUUUAUGUGUUGUCAUGGCUGCUUUUAUAUUAUAUUAGCAAAAUCGAGUAGUUGCAAUGGACAAUGUGUAGCUUGCAAAGCUUAAAAUAUUUACAUCCUGGCUCUUGGUAGAAGCUUUUUUUUGACCCCUGUCUUAGUAUAAAGACGCUAACUUCAAAAACAGCUGUGCCUCAAUUCAUCUUAUAUGGAUGAACCACUGUAUAGCAUAAGUACACAGACACCCACACAGCCACCCACCCACACACGGAGAAACUGAGAAUUUAAAUGGCUUAAAAAUGCAAUUUGCAUUUUAACUCUGAAUUUUAUUUUUUAAACGUUGCAUAGACUUUGUUUGGCUCACCCUCUUUUUCCCCUCCCAGGCUCUGUCUUAAUCUUCCCAAGUGAAAUCUGUCCUUUGCUUCAUGUUGUCUUGUAACCAUAUUUCAAUAGCACUUAAUCAGUGAUAAAACUGCUUUGAUUUAUUCCCAGCUGUGGAUAUUAUUGUUGAAAUCUGUGUAAGUGUUCCGACGUGUUAUGAUUGGAGCAAUAGCACUUAAGAGUCCAGAGGCAAGUCAGAAAAUUAACCACUGAGUUUUCUGAUGCCUAAAUUAACUGCACAGACAGUGCUGAGUACAAUGAGAAAGUUGGGAGAAACUUACUUGGCAGUAUGUAAAGUGUUGAAAUGGCUCACCCAUUCAAAGUAUUACAUUGCAAGGACAAGUUCUCAUUGGCUAUGCUUCCCCCAGGCAGUGCCACACUUUUCUAUGGGAGGACAGCUGGCUGCUCUUUUCCUCCAGGACUUUUCUUCCUGGAGCGUCUAGAUGAUGAUGCUGUGGCAGGGAAUGUGGUACUGCUCAGCCCUGUGAUGUCUCCUGCAUGUGCCAUUAGAGGAACUCUGCGGAAAAGAACAGGACAAGACCCAGACAAGCCACAAUUGCAAAAGCAAUCUGUGUUCAUGGCAGAGAAGUUGGAGGAAACCGCCAGAACAGCAAGUGACCUGUAAUACCAGCACCUAGAAAUAACAGCUCUUCAUCUGAAGGCUACCAAACUGUUUUUGAUUCUCAUAUCACCCAAGAAAUGAGAUAGAUCUCAAGAAAAACAUAUGUGCCUACAUGGUGUUUGGAGUAGCUAUGUUCCCACUGUUUCCAGCCAAUUUCUGGUACUUUGUUCUUCAUGUAUUCCUUCUUUGAAUGCUACCUUGCUUCACUGCUAGCUAGACUACUUGCAGUUUGAGUGGUACUAUAGCUGGAGUUGGCCAUGCUGUUACUCUUGGCUAUUUUUCUAAAUCUAUUUUUUGGGCAAAUUGAAAGGAGAAGCUUUCAGUACAUAUUUUAAUUGUCAUUGUUUCUGCUCUACUGUCUUGAUCUGUUUAUUAUUAAUAUUUCCACCUAUGGGUAGAUGUUGUUAGAUGCUAUUAUUGAUUUUCCUCGUUGCAAGGUGCUUAUUGAACUAGGCUGAUUUUUUUUCUAUAUAUAAACUGCAAAUAUUUUUUCAUGAGAGGAAUAUUUUUAUGUCUAUAGGAGCUCAGUAACUGUUAAGUCUUUUUUUUAAUAAGAGAAAGGCAAAUUCUUUUUUAACUUAAAAAAUCAAUCACUUGAGAGGCAGAAAUACAUACACAUGCACACGAACACACACAUACACACAUUCAGAGAGAGAGAGAGAGAGAAAACUAUCCUUUGCUUUACCCCUCAAAUGCUCAGAACAGAGCCAGAAACUUAAUCCAGGUCUCCCACAUGGGUGGCAGGAACUUAACUGCUUGUGCUGUCCCUGCUGCCUCCCAGGAUCUGUGCAUCAGCAGGAAGCUAGAGUCGGGAUGGAUCUGGACAUCAAACCCUGGCGUUCCAAAAUGGGAAGCAGAUAUUUGAGCUGCAUCUUCACUGCUAGGCUAAACAUCUGCCCCUGUAAGUCCUUCUAAAAUGUGCAGUGAUGGUAUUGGAUCAUCUCCCAGCAAGAGCUGACAAUCCUCAUACUCUUUAAGUCGUUGAGUCUUACUCUAUUGUUGUAGUCAUUGUUUAUCCCACCCAACUAGACCCUGAGCUCCUUGAGAGUGAAAAAUAUGCAUUUUAUCUCUGGAUUUCCAGUUCCUCGUCCAGUCUCUGACACAUGAAAAAAAUGUGUGCUUAAUAAAUAUUGGGGGGUCAGGCCUGUGGUGAAGCAGUUAAGAUCCCUUCAUCCCAUGUCAGAGUGCCUGGCUGUGUUUCCAAUCCAGCUUCCUGCUAAUGCACACCCUGGGUGACAGCAAGUGGGUGUUCAAGUAUGUGGGUCCCUGCCACCACCUUGGGAGGCCAGGAUGGAAGUCCUGGCUUCUGACUUCAGCUUGGUUCAGCACCAGCUGUUGAGGGCACUUGGGGGAGUGAACACGUGGAAGAAAGGUGCAUGUGUGCAUCCAUCUCUCUCUCUCAUUUUACCUUUCAAAUAAAAAUAAAGAAAUACUUGUAAAAUAUUGAUAAAGGGGAAAUUGCUUGCCCAACAUCAUCUAUUAGUAGAGUACCAGAACUACAUCCCUUUAUUUCCUCUCAUGCUGACCAGUCCAGGGAGUAGGUUCUUAAGUUUAAAGCCAGAAUCUCAAACCUGAAUUUGUUCCCCUUCUUAGCAGGAUAGUCUCAGUGAAGUCUGAGGACCUCAAACCCAGUAUAAUAAAAAUAUUGACAGUAACAGAACCUGCUGCACUAGGAUUAUUGCAGAUGAAAUAUGAUCCUGAAGUGGCUUGAUUUUUUAAAAUGAUUUAUUUAUUUGAAAAUCAGAGCUGCAGAGAGAGGGACAGAAGGAAAGACAGUGAGGGAGCUCUUCUAUCUACUGGUUCAUUCCUCCAAUGGCUGCAAUGGCCAGGGAGAGGCCAGGCCAAAACCAAGAGCCAGAAGCUUCAUCCCGGUCUCCUGUGUGGGUGACCAAGCACUCGGGCCAUCUUCUGCUUUCCCAGGCACAUCAGCAGGGAGGUGGAUGGCAAGCAGAGCAGCCAGGACACGAACUGGCGCCUAUAUGGGGAUGCUGGCAUCACAGGCAGCGACUUUGCCUGCCACACCACAGCGGCGGCCCCUGCCUUGACUAUUUUAAGUGCUCAUCAAAUGUUAACUUUUAUUAAACAUCUUUCUGGGUCAUUGUAAUAAAUUGAAAUAAGCCAUAGUGGAUACUUUUUCAGCUUGAAAAUUGGUUAACAUAAAUAGCAAGUAGUAAAAAUAAAUAUAGUUGGCCUUCUGCAGAUUCUACAUUCCUGGAUUCAACCAGUUGUGUCUGUACUGAACAUAUACAGACUUUUUAAUGCUGUGAGUAUUCCCUAAAAAAAUCCACCAUAACUAUUUGCAUAAUGUUUAUGUUAUAUUAGUAGUAUAACUAAUCUAGAACAGAUUUAAAGUAUGUGGGAGAUUGUAUGUAGGUUAUAUGCAUACAGAAGGGACUUGACCAUUAUGGAUUUUGGUAUUAGGGGGGCCUGGAUUCUACCUACACUGGUUGCUCUGUGCUCUGAAAAUAUGAUUCAUUGUUAUGGCUUCUUUUAGAUUCAUUUCACUUUUUAAUUAUAAAUGUACAAGCACUUGAAUAGUUCACAGGGGAUUAUAAGUUAUUCUCAUACUUUAUCUUCUAUGUGUUUUCUAGACCCAGAAAUUAAGAAAUAAGGGGAAGAUGUAAGUCUCCCUGAGGUGACUCAAAAUCACAAUCAGUAAGAAACAAGUUCUGUAACAAGGUUCUCUGAUGGCUGAGUCAAGACUUCUUUUCAUAUUGCAGUUCUAAAGGAUCCCAAAAAGUAUUAUUUACAAUCACAUGUAGGAUAUGGGCUUGUGUAUGCUGUGUUUUGUUGAAGAUGGCUAACCUAGGCAUCAAAUCCAUGAUAAGAUUAUAAUGUACUGUUCUCAGAAAAAGAUUAAGAACGUGUUGCAAGAGCCUUUUCGUCUCAUCAGGAUGAUGGUGACGCCCUCUCAUCCUAGAACUUGGCUGGAGGUGGAGCCUAACUGCACUGGUUGGAUUUUAAGUGGCUCUGAGAACCAGUGCCUUCAGACUAUGAAGGAACUGAAGGGUGCUGAGAGCACCGGAACUCCUGGGUGGGAUGUGGGCUCUCAGACAGGCGGGAGGUUGUCCCAGCAGGUGGAACCUAUGCCCUUCUCAUUUCUUUGGGGGAGGAGUGCCGCUUGCUUUUAUUGUAAUCCUGGAGGCAACUGGAUUUGUUAAUGAGCAUAACAGGAUUAAUUUUUUUUUUUUUACAAAAUGUUCUGAAUUUUCUAAUCUAAUUUGAAAGGAACCUUCAAAAAGUAGGCAAAUGCUUUUCCUUCUGCAAUCUUUUUGAAGACAUAAUUUGGAGGCACUGAUAAGAAAAAUAAGUCACAUGGCAAUGCACAGCUUGAUCUAUAGGGCCAGAAGCAGCAGGUAGGACUGGUCAUAAAAAAAUGUGUAAGUAUAUGUUCUCCUAGUCAAGUUUAAGCUCCCUCUUGGUUUCUGGUAACAUUUGGGCAGGCCUAGCUUUUUUAUUGUUUAAAAAUAAGAAGAGGAGACCGGCGCUGUGGCUCACUAGGCUAAUCCUCCGCCUUGCGGCGCCAGCACACCGGGUUCUAGUCCCGAUCGGGGCGCCGGAUUCUGUCCCGGUUGCCCCUCUUCCAGGCCAGCUCUCUGCUGUGGCCAGGGAGUGCAGUGGAGGAUGGCCCAAGUGCUUGGGCCCUGCAUCCCAUGGGAAACCAGGAGAAGCACCUGGCUCCUGCCAUUGGAUCAGUGCGGUGCGCUGGCUGCAGCGCGCUGGCUGCAGCGUGCCGGCCGCGGCGGCCUUUGGAGGGUGAACCAACAGCAAAAGGAAGACCUUUCUUUCUGUCUCUCUCUCUCACUGUCCACUCUGCCUGUCAAAAAGGAAAAAAAAAUAAGAGGAAAGAAAUGAAGCACCCAACAGUGACUUUCUGCUUUGCUGGAAAACACUAACUAAAUCAAAUGACCAUAGAUGACAGUAGUUGCUGGUUCACUCUCAUGUGCCCAAGGACCAGGUACAUUUUGAAUGAGCUGGGCAAGCUCAAGUUCAAGCUCAGCCUCACUCAGGUGUGCCUGUCUGGCCAUGCCCCUGUUGUGCAGUGAGGUGAAGAGUGCUUGAUCUCUCCCACGCUGGUCUCAGCCAGGGGUCUUUUGUUAAGACCUGCCUGAGAGCUGGCAAAAUGACAUUCCCUGGUGUGAUUGAGUUUUAAUGUAAGAUUACAACCGUAGAUCAAAGUGAGGAGGACAUUUGGGCAAGGGGCUCUUAAGAAUUUUAGAGCCGGAGCAUAAAGAGCAUAAUUAUACUGCAUGAUUUAGGGUUGUUUCUGCAGGUGCCACUCAGGAGCAGGGCUUGUCCUCUGGUUUAUAAAGGGCUUUGGAUCUUUUUUUCUUUCUCAGUCAUCCCUAUUAUUUAGCAUCUAGAAGACCUUUUAACGGCUGUGAUUAAAGAAACCAGCACCGUUCUAUAAAUGACUUUUCUUGAUAAGGGUGAUCUGCCUUUUAUACAGAAAGCCUAUUUGAUUUGGUAUCUACAAAUUCAGGAAUGAAAAGGAAAGAAAUAAGACCAACAAUGGGAGAGUAUGGAAGUUCUCUGUUCCUGAUUUCACCAGUUGCCAUUUGAAAGUAAGUCGACCCCAGCUGAGCUUAUGUGCCUUUGCAUUGUUAACCUACUUUUUAAAAGUGUUCCAAUAACAAAAACAUGUACCUUCCCAGAAGACCUAUAUGGGAAUUCCUCUCUGGGUUUAGGACUGCUGAGAAAUUUGACCCUCCCCAUGAUAACAUUUUUUGGACUGUUGAUGACUAUGGUCGCUCUGUAACAAGGGGGGCUUUCCCUUUUCACCCUGGCCACCAGGGACCAAAUUCCAUGCUCAGUUGCUCCCCCUGAGCCUCAGUUUCAGGAAGCACACCCUUUUUCACUUGUUCACUGCCUUUUCUGUUUUUUUAAAUCUUUAUUUAAGUGAGAAAGAGGGAGAGACAGAGAGAAAGAGACCAACCAUGCUCCCAUCCACUGGUUCACUCCCCCCAGAUUCCUACAAGCUGGGAGCCAACAGCUCAGUCCAGCUCUCCCAUGUGGGUGCCAGGGACCCAGCUUCUAGGACCAUCUCCUGCUGCCUCCCAGGGUGCACAGUAACAGGAAACUGGAGUCAGAAUAAGAGCUGUGCUCCAACCCAAGCAGUCCAGUGACGUAUGAGGUAGUAUCCUAACCAACAUCUAAGCUGCUAGGCCAAACGUCUGAUAACGGAUACAUGCUCUAUGAUUUCUGUAUUUGCUGUGCCAUUGGGUGUAUGGUAUACCAACUUAUAUCCUGAAAUUUGUUUUUAAACUUUACAUAUGUUUUGAUCAUGGAAGGAAUACAUGAUUAUUAUUUUCAGAAACUAGAAAAUAUAGGGGAAAAAAAACUAAAGGAAAAUGACAAUUAGCUGUAAUUUUGCCAUUCAGGAAAUAAUUUGCUUUUAACAUAUGACCCAACCAUGGAAUGGAGAUAAUAAACAGAUUCUACCUAUCAUUUAGCCUCCUGGGGUUGCUGUGAGUAUAAAAAUGGAACUCCUUGGGACAUGUUUACAGCAGUCCCAGGGAGUAUGAGUGAUUGAUAAGGGCUGGUGGUUAUUGUUAGUGUUGGAUGUUUUAUCUCAGACCCAUUUUGCUAGGCAUGUAUGUCAGCUCAUCUUGGUAAAUAGGGACGGUCAGGUAUGCAACAGAAUCGUGGUAUUUGAAAGCUACAAAAGGUUAAAGAGCUUAUCGAAUCUGAUUUCUCCACUAAAAACUCUAGAAAGAAGCUGGGAAGUUGGGGGAGGCAGGUAUCUUUCCAAAUCUUCAGCUGUUAGCAGUUCUACUUCAGUAUCUUCAGAGUUAGAAGCUACAAGAAUCCCUAUGUUUCUUGGUGGGGUAGGGGAACCCGGGGUGAUUCUGGGCAUGGGUGGCUGUUAAGUAGAUCCACUGAUCUGUGGCCCAGUCAGCUUGAAUAGGUAAGGAAUAAAGUACCCUGGAGGCUUGGUGGCCUCAGGAUUCUGCCAGUGUUUAAUUGGUGCUGGGCAGAGCCUGGAUCUCUGGACUGCACCAGCCAGCAGCUAUCUCUUUCAGGUAGAGAGUCACAGGCAGGUUGGAAGUGGCAGUUGCUGCAGGUAGCAUUCCAUUUUAAGAUACACCAUCAUGUUUGCACACAGUUGAUUCAGGUACUGGAAUCUGUAUUUGUUGUCGAAAGCAAAACAAAGAAAAUAGUAUUUAUUAUCAUUUCAAAGCAUUCAUGUUUCACGCAUUCAUUCUGAUGUUUUCUCUCCAGCCUGAAUUAAUGAAAUUUUCCAGCCCUUUAGUUCCUCCAUGUAGAUGACUUGAGGGGUAAGUGGAAGAAGUUUGCUAGGAAUUUUAGCAUUGUCAGUGGCUUCCUUCUAGUGAAGUUCUCUCGGCCUUUGCUGCUUCCCCAUACGGAGCCUUGGCAUCUGAGAAGAGGCUGCAAUGGGGCAGCUUCUUAGCAUUCAGAGAAGUUGAGACCCCUUGUGGUUUUUCUGGGACCACGCACUGUAAGUUGACUCACACGUGAGUGUGAGAGACUAUGAGGAGAAGCCAACUGCGUGAACUAGGCCUGUGAGUGUGUGAGCGUGCGGGGUGAUUGGUAAGGUUUCUAGAUGUUACCAGUGUAGCUACAGUCUUGCAUGACACUGCCCUUGCCACUGCACAUGGCUGAUUCUGUAAGGCUGUUCUGUGGGUGUUGAGAUGUUUCACUGUGUCCGCCUGACAUAAACUAAUGAUGUAGACUGCUAAAUGUACUGCCAUGAUUAAACAGGAUGUUAAUUAGUGGCUCCUCCAAGAGGCUUGAGCCUUCCUUUUAGCAGCCUUUGUUGUGUGUGCACCAAAGUUAAAGAGACAGAAAAUGGCUGUUUCCCAACUUGGAUCUGUUCCUGGCAAGGAGGAUUGGGGAAAAAUGCCUUCAAACCACCUCGGAAGACAUAUCAGGUCCAUCUUUGUGUCCUGGGGACUCGUCCACAGCUAUGUCUUUGUGCGAAGGAAUAUGGCAAUCUUCCUGCAGGCAGUAAUCAUUUGUACUAUUACUUAGUUGUCAUGUAUUGAUGAUGCCAUUUCAAUCAAACAUAUCUCAUUCAGAGAGCUUUUGAUGGGAGGAAUUUUUGGAAGGGUUUAGGAAGGUUAAAUCUGUGAGACAUGGCUUCCAUCUGGAAUGCAUUAGCUACAAAGAUUUAUUAGUCAGAGUGCCUGUGCAUAAUGUUCCAUGGAAAGCGGGCCCUGCAUCUAAUUUCCAGUGUGAUGUCUAUAUGAGGAGUGAUCUUUGAAAUAUCAUAGGUGACAAUCAAGUUUGUUAUAAAAAUAGUAAAUGCCCGGGAUUUUCAUGGCGGCUAUUUUAAAUCCCUCAUGAGGGCUGCUAAGCAGGUAGUUGAUUUGUUGACAAAUGAUAAAACUGUUAGGAAUAGCAGCAUGCAUGAAAUUUUAAAAUGGGGUGGGCCUUUUCGGCAGAAAAAAAAGCUAUUAGGAAAAUUAUGAGCUGUUGGUGUUUUCAUUUGACCUUUCUCCAAGCAAGAUGGCGUUCAGAAAUAAUAAGACCAGGACUCAACUAUGUAAAGAAGUGCAUCCCCCUACUGAUUAAAACCAUUUUUAAGAGCUGGUGGUGUUGAUCAAUAAGUGAGGCAGGAGACGCUUUAUAACAUCGCAUGUUAGACAGCCUGAGACUCCAUAGCUCUCAGUUGUAAUGUGCUUGGUAUAAAUUGGAAAUUAUAGGGGUGCUACGGUUUCAACUCUGCUGAUGGCUGCAUGGAAGGCAGGCAGAGCCGGAGUGUGGCUCCUGCUUACUUGUGUUGUCGUGCUGUGAAAACACAGCCAACACAAAGACAGAGAUGGCGAGGGGGAGCUGACCUGGGCUGCAGAGAUGAAGAUCAGGGAACAGAAAACUCCCAGCUUCCUGCUGCAAAGGCAGUGUCUGCCCUGGGGGGGAUGCUCUGCCCCUCCUCCUCCUCACCUGCCUUGUCUCUGACUUGCCAACACGAAGGUAACGCCACAUCGGGCAAAAGCAGUCCCGUAAGAGCUUUCUGUCCCAUCAGGAGGCUGUAAGGGUUGGAAGCGCCUUGGCUGGCUGUGUCAUAUCUUCCUGACACUGAAGGGCAAAGGAUUAAUGCCAGGUGCAGGGCGUGUCGCCAUCCAAAUAUUUAUCUGUGCAUUUGGGUCACACCACAAUGCCCAGUUGUGUCAUUCCCACUCAGUUGUAGGAAGAAGUAUUCUGUAUCCUGGAUACAAGUUCAGUACUGAAUUGUUCUCCAAGGAUUGCGAAGGAAGUGCCGGGGCUCAGCAAUUUUCUUUUACCCUCGCGUUGGGCUUCUGUGCCACGGGGCGGUUUUGUGCCAGAAAACAGAAUUGAGAGGGAAGUAGAGCCAGCCGCAAACCGCCUGACACCGAGUGAAAAGAGGUUUGACCUCAAGACCUCAAAGAUCAGGCCUUGGGUUUUCCGUUCUCAAGGUGGACAUUUGCAGGGUCCUGCACUUGAACUGCUUAUUUCUCGUCUGCAUCCAUGGUGCCUGUUAGGAAGCUUACAGCUGGAGCAGUGCCUCCCACUGCUGAGGCCACAUAUCCGGGAACACACGUAGGUGGGAUGCAGCUGAGACCAUUAAGUUCCCAUCUGGCAAAUGAUACAGGCUUCUCACAAAAGCAUAGCUGGUACAUACUCUCCCCCGCCCCAAUCCAAAUGACUGGGUCCCCUUAUGCCCCAAUUACAACCUUGCACUAGCACUGGUGUGUAGACAUCCAGCUUGCCUUCUGGGCCCGCUGUGGGCCAGGUCCAGGUCUCCUCCUCCUACGAUGCCUGCUUUUCCUAAGGCAGGAUAGCACCCUGGCCUCUUCCCUGGGUGCCAUUGUUUGUAGGAUCUUGUGUUCAUCAAAAUCUCCCAGUAGCCUGGCGUCUUUGUGUAUGUUUUUGUGUGAACUAAAUAAAAGAAUGAUGGAAACCAUGACAGCUUCCCAAAGGCUCGCUGGUUGAGCUUUCUCUACUUUUGUCAUAGGACUGAAAAACCAUUUGAGGACCAGAUUUUGGGGAGCUUAAGUUACUCAUCCAAUCCGUUGGAGUGUGUGGGUGAUACUCCCCCUGGCCUGCCCAGUUGUCUCAAUUCACUUACCUCCCCGCUCUUGGUGCUUAUGUGCGAUCUAUUGUAGAAUGCCCCUCUCCAAAGUAAUGUUUGCCCCCAAAUCAGUCCACAGUGAAUAAAAACAAACAAAGUCCUUGACGAUUAUCACCUUUGCUUAUCUCCUCCUUUUGCUCCCAGUAAUAUUUCAUUUUUUAAAAAUUGUCAAUGGCUUACAGUUAUAUUAAUUGCUUAAUGUAGACUUAAAUACUGAAAGGCCUGGAAGAAAACUCUAGAAAGAUUUUACUGACAAAGUUUGUUUUUGUGGUAUCACAGUCUAGGCUGCUUUGGAUGUUUUAUAUCACCUUAGUUUUUUCCUGUUUUGAUAGAAAUCCGUUAUUAGUAAAGAGUGAUUAGUAAAUUGGCACAAACUUAAUGUUUUGGUAUUUGAGAUUCAGAACUUCUUUAGUCACACUUAAAAAAAUACCAUAAAGUUAUUUGAGUAACAUUCUAUGAAUAAAGGUUAAUUUCUUUUUUGUUACAUUUUUAUUUAUUAACAUAUACAGGACAGAUUUCAUGAAUUUCAUAGAUAUGAUUCAAAGACCAUGAUACUGUCUUCUCUCCCUCCCUCACUCCCUUCCUCCCUCCUUCCUUCCUUUCUUUCCUUUAUUUUCUUUUAAUUUUUCACAAUAAUACAGUUUCAAUUUACCUGAUGACCGCAGACUCAACACUUCUCUAAGCAUAGGGCUCUACAAGUACAAGGUGGACAGACCAUUGUUCCAUAGGAGUGUGGACAAGGGUUCUAGACAGCGCUCAGAUCUCAGGAUGUCCAUUUAUCUCAAUAUACUCUGAUUUUUUUUGUACUCUAUAUUAGCUAUAACCUAUCAGAGAAAACACAUGAUAUUUGUCUUUUUCAGUCUAGCUUAUUUCAUUAAGCAGAAUGGUCUCCAGUGGUAUCCAUUUUAUUUCAAGACAGGAUUUCAUUCUUUUUUUAUGGCUGAGUAGCAUUCCAUCAUGUAUUUAUGCCACAUUUUCUUUUUUUUUUAAGAUUUUUAUUUAUUUAUUUGAGAGGUAGAGUUACAGUGAGAGGAAAAGACAAAGAGAAAGUUCUUCCUUCUGUUGGUUCUCUCCCCAAAUGGCCACAAAGGCCAGAGCUGCACUGAUCUGAAGCCAGGGGCCAGGAGCUUCUUCCCUAUCUCCCACGUGGGUGCAGGGGCCCAAGCACUCGGGCCAUCUUCCACUGCUUUCCCAGGCCACAGCAGAGAGCUGGAUCAGAAGAGGAGCAGCUGGGACUAGAACCUGCGCCCAGAUGGGAUCCUGGCGCUGCAGGUGGAGGAUUAACCCACUGUGCCACAGUGCAGGCCCCUACCACAUUUUCUAUAUCAAGUCAUCAGUUGAUGGUCAUCUGGGUUGAUUCCAUUUUUAGCUUUUGUGAAAUGAGCUGCUAUAAACAUGGGAGUAAAUCCAACACCAAAUAUUUUUAUUACAUUUAAAUUUUUGAAAAAGAAAACAUAAUAUUUACAUGUUAAUUAUCAUACCUGAAAAGGAAGUUUCACAUUUUUGAAAUGAGAUUUAACUUUAAAAAGCCACUGUGGACAUACGGUCUCCUCUCAUCCAGUGUAGAACUGUAGCUGGCUGUUCUGUGAUUUACUAGUGAAAUCUUACCAGUCAUUUCAGUCAGUCCCAUAGUAAUCAGUCAUGAAGUGACAAGAUUAACCCGCUAGAUUAAAUUGUUAUAAUUUCACAUGUAACAGUAGGAUAAGAAAAGUAUAAAAUAUUAUACAAAUGCAAGGUGUUAUCAUUGACUCAUUUAACUUCUGAGGAAGUCCGCAAAUGUAGCUGACGGGGUCUCAUAAUCCUGGAAUUCAUGAGUGGAAAUAAUCAAUAGUAUCAUUAGAUGAAUGCUUAAAACCAGUGUCAUCUCAAGGUCACAAAAAUGGGAAUAAUUUCUUUUUUUUUUUCUUUUUGACAGGCAGAGUUAGACAGUGAGAGAGAGAGAGACAGAGAGAAAGGUCUUCCUUCUGUUGGUUCAUCCCCCAAAUGGCCGCUAUGGCCAGCACCCUGCGCUUGUCCAAAGCCAGGAGCCAGGUGCUUCUCCUGGUCUCCCGUGCGAAUACAGGGCCCAAGCACUUGGGCCAUCCUCCACUGCACUCCCGGGCCAUGGCAGAGAGCUGGACUGGAACAGGGGCAACCGGGACAGAAUCCGGCGCCCCAACCGGGACUAGAACCAGGAGUGCAGGCGCCGCAGGCGGAUGAUUAGCCAAGUGAGCUGCGGCACCGGCCCUUAAAAUGGGAAUAAUUUCAUCUCAUUAUGUUGCAAAGGAAAGCAUCUUACUAAGAUGAUGUAUGCAAAAGUUAAGUACUUUCUAUUUUGUGAGCUUAAUCCACCUCUCUUAUAGCGGCACAGGUAUGUCAAAGGAAAACAUUCCACAGCUCUCCCACCAAAUAUCACUGGUUCCAUUAACCCUCCCUGGCUGGGUCAGGCUUCUCUUCCUUUCCUGUGAGUGCCCAAGAACCCUGCCUCCUCCAGGACGAUCUGCCUGCUCGCUAGACUGUAGACUCUUUCAGGGUGGAGAUGUUUCUGCCCCGUGCCUGGCCAAGCGCCUGGCGCACAGUAGGCUUUCAGUAAUUGCUCGCUGAGUGAAGGGCGCUGCCAGAGGCUUCCCGCCGGGAACAACACGUGGCCUUGUACAAAACGACUAGAAGGUUUGUGAAAGGUGGACGUGUAUACGUACAGCUCUGUUAUGCGUAUCCUAGUUGGUAUUUUCUCAUCAGUGACAUUGGCAAUGGAGGUGAAGGCGGUUUUAUAAUUGCCCAGUGGCCUCCAAGAAUCAAAAUCCCUUUCUGUGAUACGGUGCAAGAGUAUGACCUGGGAAUCUCCAAAUUUUACCCCUCCCUUCCCUCUGGGCAGGGCUCUUUUUUUUUUUUUUUUUUUU